rnacentral:piRNA from 1 species
UGGUGGUAGACCCCUGGGGAACAGUG